GGCGACGCCUGGACCAGCCAUGCCGCGUGUGUGAAGAGGUCUUCCGGUUGUAAAGCACUUUAAGUUGGGAGGAAGGGCAUUAACCUAAUACGUUAGCGUUUUGACGUACCGACAGAUAAGCACCGGCUAACUCCGCGCCAGCAGCCGCGGUAAAG
rnacentral:rRNA from 1 species